rnacentral:lncRNA from 1 species
AAAUGUUAACAUGGGUUGCGGAGUUGUUUUUCUUAAUGUAAAUUGGCUGAAGAUCAAUGCUAACAUGGGUUGCAAUGUUGUUUUUCUUUAUGCAAAUCUCUCUUUCACUAUUAAGAAGUCAAAUUGAAAAAAUUUCCUCUGCAAUAAAGUUUCCUUGUCAUGUUAUAUAGCCUUUAUUACCUUACCUAUGUGGAUUUGGAAAUUUAUGGUGGUUUUUAUUAUCUUAAGUGUAAAAGCAAAUGCUAGGAUUACAUAUUAAUAAAAUCUUUGCUUCAUGCACUUGCUUACUCCAUAUUUAUUGCUUCAUCAACAAAUAAUAAUUUUCUUUUAUG